rnacentral:rRNA from 1 species
AUUGAACGCUGGCGGCAGGCCUAACACAUGCAAGUCGAACGGUAACAGGAAGCAUCUUGCUGCUUUGCUGACGAGUGGCGGACGGGUGAGUAAUGUCUGGGAAACUGCCCGAUGGAGGGGGAUAACUACUGGAAACGGUAGCUAAUACCGCAUAACGUCGCAAGACCAAAGAGGGGGACCUUAGGGCCUCUUGCCAUCGGAUGUGCCCAGAUGGGAUUAGCUAGUAGGUGGGGUAACGGCUCACCUAGGCGACGAUCCCUAGCUGGUCUGAGAGGAUGACCAGCCACACUGGAACUGAGACACGGUCCAGACUCCUACGGGAGGCAGCAGUGGGGAAUAUUGCACAAUGGGCGCAAGCCUGAUGCAGCCAUGCCGCGUGUAUGAAGAAGGCCUUCGGGUUGUAAAGUACUUUCAGCGGGGAGGAAGGGAGUAAAGUUAAUACCUUUGCUCAUUGACGUUACCCGCAGAAGAAGCACCGGCUAACUCCGUG